AGCCUAUGUAUGCCUCUCUCUCUCUCCGAUGCUCUGCCCUCGCAAGAGAAGAGAAGAAUGCAGUCAGCGACGUUUGGGGAGAAACUAAGAAAUGAACAAAGAGGAGCAUAUGAGGCUCAGAAAUGUGUCGCUGUCAUCUCCUGUGAAACAGACGGACAGGAGAGAUCAAAAACAGAGAAGAAGAACCUUGGAGAGAAGAACAGAGAUACCAAGUGGGACAGAGAAUGAGAAGAGACAACUACCUGUCUGAUUUUCAAAAUAUGAUUUUUAUUUUCUCUCCAGUGGCAUGAAAGUCUCAGGUUAAUGAAGAGGAACAGAAGUGUGAACAUUUUGCCACAGCAUGCCACAUUCUCAGGAUUGUGAAACUAUUUUAAAUCUGACGUCUCCACUUUGCACCAUGUGGAUUCAUUCAUUAUUUUAAACUUACAUACUCUAUGUCUGAUGGGCGUCUGGAGUGAAUGUAAGGCUCUACUUGCUUUCUAAAAUGCUAAAAUGCUUCUGUCUUGCUUUCAUGCCAAUAAAGAUUACUUAAUUGAAUGAAAUUAAAUACAUUUGAAACGGAGAUACAGUAAAGGCCAGAUCGAAUAGCAAACCAACGUCUUGCUUCUCUUACUAUCACUCUGAAAACCUCCAUCUCAUGUAUUUGCCAUGUGAAAUAUAUUCAUACAGUAGGAGUAUAGAUGUAUAUAUGUGGGGGUAUGCAUGCAUAUAUUCAUUAAUUCACACAUGCCUGCAUGCAUGUUACAAUUUAUGUGUUCCUGGACUGUGCACAGUCCCCUUGACCAACCUCAUCCUCUUUCAUCUUACCAUCCACUCUCUUACAUGGUCUGUACUUUUGUGUGUGUGUGUGUGUGUGUGUCAGCGCUCCCAUGAAAAGACUUUGAUCCUGUGAACUCUAUUUCAUGGACAAGUGCCAUGUCUUUGUUCUUUGUUAGAUUUCUCCUAUGGGAGCAGAAACAUAAAGUCACGUACCUGACCAACUACUAAAGCAGAACAGGAAAAAAAAAACAAUAGCACAUUUGCUGAUGUGCAGACAUGCAUGCAAGCACAGGUGUAUAAAUAAGAUUAACAUACACACACACACACACUGCCCAUGUUUUAAAGCAGACUGUAAUUUGCCUUCAGACAGAGAUUGAUGGUGUGUGCUGGGAUGAGGAGUAUUUCUGAUGCAUAUACAAAAUGUUUAGAAAUGUGUUUUUAACUGUAUGAAAAAAUGUAAAGAAUUUGCAUCUAAAUAUAUUAAAAUACAUAAACACACACAAACAUACACAUAUGAUAUUAGAAACAGUGAAAAUACCAAUUUCAACCAUCCUCCAACCAUCUUAUGCUGUGCAAUCAAUUUUCAGUCCAGGUCACACUGUUUGGACGGAGUAGGGAUCAAUGAACCAGUCGAGGAACAACAGCAAAAUCAUUGUCCAUUAAGACUAUGUAUAAGGUGAAAGGGGGUCGCUCAGAAUGACAAAUCCACAGAGAGUUAUCACAUGACUGCAUUUCCCCUCAGCUCAAUGGAGCCUCUUUUAACUUACUGUUUGGUUUUAUGACCAACUUUAACUCACUGAUUCACUUCAGCCUCAUCAUUUUUGGCUGCAGUCAGGACCUGUUUUAAUUGAAAAAUCUCAACAACAAAAAACCUGGCUGCUAGCAACUAGCUGGUGAACAAACAGUUAAAAGGAGAAUGAAUACUGUCCUUUAAUUCAUCACAACUCUAAAUGAGAGGUCAUUUUUCUCUGUAUUCACCUGAUAAAUUAACAACUGUUUGCUAACACAUUCGCCAUGUGAAAUUAACAUAAGAUGAUAACGUGUCAGUGGUGAGUAGGUAAACAUUUACAACAAUGGCUACAACCGUACAGUAUUUUUUAUAUGAUCUCCUCCUGAGACUACUUCGUCAAGUAACAUUGAGUUCAUCACUAAAAGUAAACUUCCACACUUCAGCACGCUACGUGAUGUUGACUUCUUUGUUUGUG